rnacentral:rRNA from 1 species
AACGAACGCUGGCGGCAGGCCUAACACAUGCAAGUCGAGCGCCCCGCAAGGGGAGCGGCGGACGGGUGAGUAACGCGUGGGAACGUGCCCUCUUCUACGGAAUAGCCUCGGGAAACUGGGAGUAAUACCGUAUACGCCCUUAGGGGGAAAGAUUUAUCGGAGGAGGAUCGGCCCGCGUUGGAUUAGGUAGUUGGUGGGGUAAUGGCCUACCAAGCCGACGAUCCAUAGCUGGUUUGAGAGGAUGAUCAGCCACACUGGGACUGAGACACGGCCCAGACUCCUACGGGAGGCAGCAGUGGGGAAUCUUAGACAAUGGGCGCAAGCCUGAUCUAGCCAUGCCGCGUGAGCGAUGAAGGCCUUAGGGUUGUAAAGCUCUUUCAGGGGGGAAGAUAAUGACUGUACCCCCAGAAGAAGCCCGGCUAACUCCGUG